rnacentral:rRNA from 1 species
UACGGGGGGAGCAAGCGUUGUUCGGAUUUACUGGGCGUAAAGGGCGCGUAGGCGGCCAGCACAAGUCAGUUGUGAAAUCUCCGGGCUUAACUCGGAACGGUCAAGUGAUACUGUCGGGCUAGAGUACAGAAGGGGCAACUGGAAUUCUCGGUGUAGCGGUGAAAUGCGUAGAUAUCGAGAGGAACACCUGCGGCGAAGGCGGGUCUCUGGGCCGAUACUGACGCUGAGGAGCGAAAGCGUGGGGAGCGAACAGG